rnacentral:rRNA from 1 species
AAAAUUUUAAGAGUCGAACAGACUCAAUCUUUGAAUUUUGCACCCAAAAAUAAUUUUAAUCCAACAUCGAGGUCGCAAUCUUAUUUUUCAAUAAGAACUUAAAAAAUAAAUUACG